rnacentral:rRNA from 1 species
UACGGAGGAUCCAAGCGUUAUCCGGAUUUAUUGGGUUUAAAGGGUGCGUAGGCGGCCUAUUAAGUCAGGGGUGAACGACGGUAGCUUAACUAUCGCAGUGCCUUUGAUACUGAUGGGCUUGAAUACACUAGAGGUAGGCGGAAUGUGACAAGUAGCGGUGAAAUGCAUAGAUAUGUCACAGAACACCAAUUGCGAAGGCAGCUUACUAUGGUGCAAUUGACGCUGAGGCACGAAAGCGUGGGGAUCAAACAGG